rnacentral:rRNA from 1 species
CCUACGGGUGGCAGCAGUAGGGAAUCUUUCACAAUGGGCGAAAGCCUGAUGGAGCAACGCCGCGUGCAGGAUGAAGGCCUUCGGGUUGUAAACUGCUUUUAUAAGCGAGAAAUAUGAGGGUAACUUAUGAAUAAGGAUCGGCUAACUACGUGCCAGCAGCCGCGGUCAUACGUAGGAUCCGAGCAUUAUCCGGAGUGACUGGGUGUAAAGAGUUGCGUAGGUGGCAUAAUAAGUAGCUAGUGAAAUCUGGUGGCUCAACCAUCCAGACUAUUAGCUAAACUGUUAAGCUCGAGACCGUUAGGGGUAACUGGAAUUUCUAGUGUAGGAGUGAAAUCCGUAGAUAUUAGAAGGAACACCAAUAGCGUAGGCAGGUUGCUGGGACGGUUCUGACACUAAGGCACGAAAGCGUAGGGAGCAAACGGGAUUAGAUACUCCAGUAGUC